UCUUAUUAGUUAAAAAUUCAAUAUGGCCGAUGCUGGGAAGCGUUCCCUAUUGGCUGUUUUGGGAGGAUGCGCAAGAACACACCUUCUCUCCUUACAUCAUGCCAGAAUCCAUCGAGUAAUAUGCAUGAUUUCUAGGCUGAAACCCGAGUAGCAGAAGUUUUCUUAAUUUUUUUGCGCAUGUGCGUACGGUUCAGGCCAGGCACAGGCAUACCAGAAGCAACGAAGAUAGACCAUCUUCGUUGAUACAGGAUAACCACGAGAGUCACACGAACGAUGACGACAUCAGUGCCUGGAGCGACUGAGGACAGCGAGGAAAUGCGCGAGUCGAUGCAGAAGAUCGUCGAUCAAUUCAUGACGGAAAAGCGAAAGAGACAGUGAACAAUCCACUACUCCGAUGAAACUCAAUAAGUCGAAGAUGCGAGAAACACUUUAUACAUAGACUAUAUAAAUAUAUAUAUAAAGUAUAGGCGUAAAAUAAAAAAUAAACGGGCGCGAACUUUUUGAAACGAAUGUCGCGAGCCUCGUGUGUUCUCUAUAUUAUACAUAAUGACAAUGAGAAAAAAAGCACUUCCGCGCCGACCGCGCAGCUGAGCCACAGGUACGUCAUCGUCAAUAACGAUGAGCGCUUCUGGCCUAUAUUAAACGGAUCGUCGUCGCGUUUGUUAUACUUUCGGAAAAAUCGAGGAAAGGAGAUGAAUAAUAUGAUAUAAACAAUGAAUCACGAUGAAUUAUUAUAUAUGAAUAUAUGAAUUAAGCAAAGACAACAAU